AGCCAACUUGUAGUACUCCACAUU
rnacentral:miRNA from 1 species